CAUCAAUUAAGAAGUACAGGCCAUAUGGCUGAAGCCAGACAUUCAGGCUUUUCAAGUGUAGAAUCUCACACCUUGCAGAGCCUUUGAUUAAUCACAGGAUCCAUCUUUCCCUUUUCAUAUACCUAUGCAAUUUACAUUACCCCUUCGGUCAUCUGAUCUUUGUGGAGGCACCAGCUUCAAAGACAAUAUUCCAUAGUGCAAUAAUGAGUUAUGCACCCUUGCCGUGACAAUGGCCAUAG